UGACGCAUCCCAUGUGAGACUUCCUGGUAAGAGACACUGCUGUCUGUGUUCAUGCUGAGUUUCGUCUUGCUGUAUUUGUCCCCAGGCCGUUCGUUCCUAUGAUUCUCUCAUCUUGAAGGCUGAAGGAAAAGUGGAGCCAGAGUUAUUCUGCCAGCUAGGCCACUUCAACCUCCUCCUGGAGGAGUACGCUAAAGCAUUAUCAGCAUACCAGAGGUACUACAGCUUACAGUCCGACUACUGGAAGAAUGCUGCCUUCCUAUAUGGCCUGGGCAUGGUCUACUUCCAUUACAACGCCUUUCAGUGGGCGAUUAAAGCUUUCCAGGAGGUGCUGUACAUCGACCCCAGUUUCUCACGAGCCAAGGAGAUCCACCUGCGACUCGGCCUCAUGUUUAAGGUCAACACAGACUACGAGUCAAGCCUAAAGCAUUUCCAGCUGGCUUUGAUUGACUCCAACCCCUGCACUUUGUCCAAAGCUGAAAGUAAGUAGUGUGAAUAAAGACAAUUCGGUAAUGCAAGUUUACUUUUUAAAAUAUGCAUGUUGAUGUUCAUUUGAGAUUUAACUACUGAGAUGUACUGGACAAAUUGGCCAACUAUGUUGAUUGAGAGUAGGGAUGGGCAUGCGUAAUGGAGUACUCAAACUGUUGUAAUAUAUAUAUAUAUAUAUAUAUAUAUAUAUUGCAGAACUAUAUUGUGAAAUGUUUGUCUUGAAGACCACGUUAAUUUGCUUUGACUCUAGUGUUCCAUUUGUACAUGUGCAUUUGCAGGACACCACAAAAAUAA